rnacentral:lncRNA from 1 species
CACGUUCAGUGGUCGGCUUCUGAGGGCCUCAAGCUAAGAUACCUUAUCUUGGGCUCAGAAGGUCUCUGCAGUUCAGUGAAGGAGUCAGCAAGACAAGCAAUGGAAUGAGCUACUUACGACAAUGCAGAGUGGGGUCUCUGUAACUAUAAGAAACAAAGCCGGCCAUCAUCUUGCAGAUGAGGGCCAGUUGAGGGUCUGGUCCUCAGGGCCACUGGGGCUUGAACAAAGUCUCUGGCCCCUUGAGCCUUCCAGUUACCAGUUGUUUCAUCUGUGUAAGUGUUUGUCAAGGGCCCUGCUUAGCCAUGGCUUUGUUGGAAACACUGAGGAAAACUUCCCCACGGCAUUGGUUUUCCUCUGUGGUAAGGUCCAUGUGGUGAGGGUCUCUCCAUGGUCUUCCUGAAAAAGAUGGCAGAUAGCUCAUCAGGACUAACCUGCGACCUAACUGACUUUGGGAGCCCAAAGUGGAAAUCUACCGAGAGCCCACAGACAGCUGAAUGGAUAAAUGAAAUGCGAACCACGGGUUAAUUCCAUCGAGAUAUUAAUUCAGCUUGGAAAAAGGGGGAGAAUCUGAAACACUUACAUGGAUGAACUGCAAGGCUAUCAGGCUAUGUGAAACAAGCUCUUCCAAAGAGACUGUCCCUGCCCAUCCUCUGCUGGAUUACGGGACUGUCAUCUCCUGGAGACACCAUAGCCUGAGGCCUCUGGCCUCCUUUUUGUUCCCUGGGGACCACAGCCAUGGCACCAGCUGCAGUUAUCCUGAGUUUACCUCUGCUGAUCUGUACCAGAAACUUUAAGGAAGACGGUGUGCAGAGCGGCAAAGGAAGAACAUACAAGGCCAGGUUGCAGAAAUGAACCCCAUAGACAAUGCACUGCUCUCCUUGAAAAAGGGUCUUGAUGGGAAAACAAAUGCACAGAUAAGAUAUUCUCAAGUAUUGAUAAGAAUGGGGAGCCAAGAAACAACACAAGAUUGGGAAGGUAGACUGCUAUAAACUGGGCAUCAGGGAAAGUAUAUCUGGAUAGUUGACACACCUGGCCCUGGAACAAGGAGGAGCCAGCUAGGCAAAGAUCUAGAGGGCCUGUGCAAAGCAUCAGCAAGUGCAAAGGUCCUGAGGCUGGAGUCCAUAUGCCUUCUGGGGCUUUUGACCAACACAAUCUGAAUCACCAGGGUUGUUUCCUUAAGGAAACCACUUUCAGUCCUUUGUGAACUUCCUCACUGCCUCCUAAUCCUCCUCAUCCAAGUUAAUUUCUAAUCACUACGAAUUCUUUCUUUUAGGAAAUUCUUCCAAAAACUUUAGGAAGUUCUAGUAAUCCAUGGGUUAUGAAAAACUGGCCUGUGAUUCAGUAACAAAAACAAAG